CUGGAAGCGCUCACGCGCACCCAGAAACCCUUUGUGAACAUACCUAUCGUCGUUGCCUCGGCGAGGCUGGGGGAGGUCACACUCCCCCCCACCGCGAUACCUUCUCGCGGCGGAGCAGGCCCGCCGGCGGCCCACCAAACUCUUGUCUCCAAGCGUAUCUCUUCUGAGUAAUAGCUUCUAAAAAUGAAUCA
rnacentral:misc_RNA from 1 species